rnacentral:rRNA from 1 species
AUACGUAGGGUGCAAGCGUUAAUCGGAAUUACUGGGCGUAAAGCGUGCGCAGGCGGUUUUGUAAGACAGGGGUGAAAUCCCCGGGCUCAACCUGGGAACUGCCUUUGUGACUGCAAGGCUAGAGUACGGCCGAGGGGGAUGGAAUUCCGCGUGUAACAGUGAAAUGCGUAGAUAUGCGGAGGAAAACCGAUGGCGAAGGCAAUCCCCUGGGCCUGUACUGACGCUCAUGCACGAAAGCGUGGGGAGCAAACAGGAUUAGAUACCCUGGUAGUCCACGCCCUAAACGAUGUCAACUGGUUGUUGGGUCUUCAUUGACUCAGUAACGAAGCUAACGCGUGAAGUUGACCGCCUGGGGAGUACGGCCGCAAGGUUGAAACUUAAAGGAAUUGACGGGG